AGUGAACGCUGGCGGCAGGCUUAACACAUGCAAGUCGAACGCCCCGCAAGGGGAGUGGCAGACGGGUGAGUAACGCGUGGGAACAUACCCUUUCCUGCGGAAUAGCUCUGGGAAACUGGAAUUAAUACCGCAUACGCCCUACGGGGGACAGAUUUAUCGGGGAAGGAUUGGCCCGCGUUGGAUUAGCUAGUUGGUGGGGUAAAGGUCUACCAAGGCGACGAUCCAUAGCUGGUCUGAGAGGAUGAUCAGCCACAUUGGGACUGAGACACGGCCCAAACUCCUACGGGGGGCGGCGGUGGGGAAUAUUGGACAAUGGGCGCAAGCCUGAUCCAGCCAUGCCGCGUGAGUGAUGAAGGCCUUAGGUUUGUAAAGCUCUUUCACCGAUGAAGAUAAUGACGGUAGUCGGAGAAGAAGCCCCGGCUAACUUCGUGCCAGCCGCCGCCGUAAAAC
rnacentral:rRNA from 1 species